AUUGAACGCUGGCGGCAUGCUUUACACAUGCAAGUCGAACGGCAGCGCGGGGCAACCUGGCGGCGAGUGGCGAACGGGUGAGUAAUAUAUCGGAACGUACCCAGAAGUGGGGGAUAACGUAGCGAAAGUUACGCUAAUACCGCAUACGAUCUACGGAUGAAAUUAGGGGAGCGCAAGGCCAUAUGCUUUUGGAGCGGCCGAUAUCUGAUUAGCUAGUUGGUGAGGUAAAGGUUCACCAAGGCGACGAUCAGUAGCUGGUCUGAGAGGACGACCAGCCACACUGGAACUGAGACACGGUCCAGACUCCUACGGGAGGCAGCAGUGGGGAAUUUUGGACAAUGGGCGCAAGCCUGAUCCAGCAAUGCCGCGUGAGUGAAGAAGGCCUUCGGGUUGUAAAGCUCUUUUGUCAGGGAAGAAACGGUAGAGGCUAAUAUCCUUUGCUAAUGACGGUACCUGAAGAAUAAGCACCGGCUAACUACGUG
rnacentral:rRNA from 1 species